AUGGUUUGCGGGAAAACUCUUCUCUCUUUGGUCUCACUUCAAGUCCUUCUAGAAGUAAAUAAAGGACAUGCUUAUUUAACUACUGCACUAUCGGACAACCGACCGGAUUCAAGCCCUAGCCCCUCAACUCGAAUGGACUUGUGGAAAUCCUCGAAAACAAGUAUUGCUCAACUCACCUAUCUAUAA
rnacentral:rRNA from 1 species